rnacentral:rRNA from 1 species
AGUGAACGCUGGCGGUAGGCCUAACACAUGCAAGUCGAACGGCAGCACAGUAAGAGCUUGCUCUUACGGGUGGCGAGUGGCGGACGGGUGAGGAAUACAUCGGAAUCUACUUUUUCGUGGGGGAUAACGUAGGGAAACUUACGCUAAUAUCGCAUACGACCUACGGGUGAAAGCAGGGGAUCUUCGGACCUUGCGCGAUUGAAUGAGCCGAUGUCGGAUUAGCUAGUUGGCGGGGUAAAGGCCCACCAAGGCGACGAUCCGUAGCUGGUCUGAGAGGAUGAUCAGCCACACUGGAACUGAGACACGGUCCAGACUCCUACGGGAGGCAGCAGUGGGGAAUAUCGGACAAUGGGCGCAAGCCUGAUCCAGCCAUACCGCGUGGGUGAAGAAGGCCUUCGGGUUGUAAAGCCCUUUUGUUGGGAAAGAAAAGCAGCAGGUUAAUACCCCGCUGUUCUGACGGUACCCAAAGAAUAAGCACCGGCUAACUUCGUG